AUGCUGGGCUGUCAGCUGGGCUGUUGGCUGCCAGUCCGCCUGCGUUAUCAGAGGCUGCAGACACUGCCCUGCCUGGUGGGAGGCAGGGAAGCUAGGCCUACCUAUCCGAGGCUCUGUGCUGCCUUUGACCCUCCCACUCAGUCUCCUCCCAGCAAGUGGAGUGGCCUGGCCUGCCUGGAGCAGGAGAGGCACCAAAGGCAGGGAUCCCAGGGACAGGCUGAGUGGAGGAGGCCAGACCAGGACAUAGAAGACAAUACACUCCAGGUCCCGGAGGUACUAGUGCCCCUCAGGAAACAGCUAGAAGCACAAGAAUCACAUCCCAGGCUUUGUGAGGAGAUGGCUGAGUACUGGAGGACACGCUGGCACCAGGUGGCAGUUGCCCUGAAAUUUAAAGAGGAGGAACUGCAAAGACUCCAGAUGCAGAGUGGGACCUGGCCUCCCCAGGGAGUGGGACCUGCUGUAGGUCUGAGCACCAAGGGCUCCCGCACCAGGAGGACAGGAGCCUCCAGUCAUCUCCACUUCACAACCCCUGAAAGCCUCAGCUUGUGGAUCCAGAGCUGGGUACUGAGCCGUACUGGACCAGCGGGCCCUCUCCUGGGAUCGCUGGACUUGGAGCAGAAGAGACCCUCCAGGACUGAAGACUGGACACACAAAACUUGGGAAUUGUCAACUGACCUAUUAUUCACCUCGUGA
rnacentral:lncRNA from 1 species